rnacentral:rRNA from 1 species
UACGUAGGGUGCAAGCGUUAAUCGGAAUUACUGGGCGUAAAGCGUGUGCAGGCGGUUAUGUAAGACAGAUGUGAAAUGCCCGGGCUUAACCUGGGAACUGCAUUUGUGACUGCAUGGCUAGAGUUUGGCAGAGGGGGGUAGAAUUCCACGUGUAGCAGUGAAAUGCGUAGAGAUGCGGAGGAACACCGAUGGCGAAGGCAGCCCCCUGGGCCAACACUGACGCUCAGGCACGAAAGCGUGGGGAGCAAACAGG